rnacentral:tRNA from 7 species
CCGAAAAUGACGGUUUAACCCCAUCCCCCACUA